UUAAGUUCAGCGGGUAUCCCUACCUGAUCCGAGGUCAACCGUUGAAAAAUAGUGGUCCGGCUGGAACGCCCGGGUGGCUCGAAGCGGGAGUAGUUACUACGCUCGAUCACCGGCCGCACCGCCGCUGCUUUCCAGGCGCGCCCCGGGGGACGGCGCCCAAUACCAAGCCAGGCUUGAGGGUUGUAAUGACGCUCGAACAG
rnacentral:misc_RNA from 1 species